rnacentral:rRNA from 1 species
AGGGUUUGAUCAUGGCUCAGAAUGAACGCUGGCGGCGUGCUUUACACAUGCAAGUCGAGCGAGGCGGGUAGCAAUACCCAGUCGAGCGGCGAACGGGUGAGUAACGCGUGGAUGACCUGCCCUUCAGCGGGGAAUAACCCGGGGAAACUCGGGCUAAUACCGCAUACGAUCGAGAGAUGAAAGAGGGCCGCAAGGCUCUUACUGAAGGAGGGGUCCGCGUCCGAUUAGCUAGUUGGUAGGGUAAUGGCCUACCAAGGCGACGAUCGGUAGCCGGCCUGAGAGGGUGAUCGGCCACACUGGAACUGAGACACGGUCCAGACUCCUACGGGAGGCAGCAGUGGGGAAUUUUGCGCAAUGGGCUAACGCCUGACGCAGCAACGCCGCGUGGAGGAUGAAGGUCUUUGGAUUGUAAACUCCUGUCAGCAGGGAAAAAGGGAUAGGCGUUAAUACCGCUUAAACUUGAUUGUACCUGCAGAGGAAGCCCCGGCUAACUCUGUGCCAGCAGCCGCGGUAAUACAGAGGGGGCAAGCGUUAUUCGGAAUUAUUGGGCGUAAAGGACGCGUAGGCGGCUUUUCAAGUGACGGGUGAAAUCCCUCGGCUUAACCGAGGAACUGCCUGUCAGACUGGAUUGCUUGAGGCCGGGAGAGGCGAGUGGAAUUCCCAGUGUAGCGGUGAAAUGCGUAGAUAUUGGGAGGAACACCAGUGGCGAAGGCGGCUCGCUGGACCGGUUCUGACGCUGAGGCGCGAAAGCGUGGGGAGCAAACAGGAUUAGAUACCCUGGUAGUCCACGCCGUAAACGAUGAGUGCUUGGUGUAGCGGGUAUCGACCCCUGCUGUGCCGACGUCAACACAUUAAGCACUCCGCCUGGGGAGUACGGGUCGCAAGACUGAAACUCAAAGGAAUUGACGGGGGCCCGCACAAGCGGUG